UACGAAGGGGGCUAGCGUUGUUCGGAAUUACUGGGCGUAAAGCGCGCGUAGGUGGUUUGUUAAGUUGGAUGUGAAAUCCCCGGGCUCAACCUGGGAACUGCAUCCAAAACUGGCAAGCUAGAGUAGGGCAGAGGGUGGUGGAAUUCCUGUGUAGCGGUGAAAUGCGUAGAUAUAGGAAGGAACACCAGUGGCGAAGCGACCACCUGGCGUCAUACUGACACUGAGGUGCGAAAGCGUGGGGAGCAAACAGGA
rnacentral:rRNA from 1 species